UUAUUGCUUAAAAUAAAAAAAAAAAAAAAAUUUGAUGUUAAGCAAAAGCAUACAAUGUCAAAAAACCUUUAAUACCUUACUUGCUCAAUUCUCAUGUUCUGGCAAAAAUAUGACUAAUAUAUAUACUGACUUGAAAAAGAAUUAAAACAUUGAAUUAAAAAAAAAAACAUUUGGUAUAAUUUUGAAUGAGCUAAAAAUGGGACAUCUUCAACUUUGUGUAGUGAGAGGUUGGCUGAUUUUCAUUCUGUUUCUGGACCCAAGUCCUCACAAUUAAAACAAAGCAUUUCUUUUCUAGAAAUUGACAAUGAUUAGGUUUAUAUGAGUGUGUUUCUUAGUAUAGGUAUAGCAGCAGUGAGCACUAUUAGCUAAAAAAUUGUUUCUUUGUCUUCUGUGAUGCCAAGGCCUACUGAAAAUGACCAUGUGCAGGUAUUGGAACUGCAUCAGUCUCAAAAUGAAAUUUGUACAAGUUACAAGUAAAAAUUGUGUAACAAAAAAAGCAUACAUCGUAUAAUUCAUGUAACAAUCAUAGCUUAAAUUGAAGAAAAGUUGGAAGUUCAUAGCUGACGCAAAGAUUCUUUAUGAACUGAAUGUUCGUCAUGGUCUUCACCCAGUGUUUAUUGACAGAUUUAAGGUCAUUUGUUCCAGGGAAAAAAAGGGGAAAAUUUGUUUCUGGUUCAUAAUAAUUAGAUAAAUAUUGGUAGCAACAAUUUUAAAAAAUCCUGUGGGGGCAUCAUUUUUGUUGGCCUUUAGUUCUGCAUUAUCUCAGCAUCAUUCAUGAUGCUGGUUUGUUUUGAGCUCUACUGGUCAGAGACCAGAAGAGCUUAUGCGAUAGUAUGUUGUCCGUCUGUCUAGCUGUCUGUCUGCAGACAAUUUUUCAAAAUGCAACUUCUCCUACAGAUUUGGUCUGAUUUCAGUACAACUUGGCACACAAGUAGACUACACCAAGAUACAUAAUUCUGUGCAUCUGUUUUUGAUUUGAUGAAUGGUGUUGCUCUGAUUACUAAAAAUAGAAAUUUCUUUGAAAUACUUUCAAAAUGCUACUCCCCCUAACAGUUUUGGUCUGAUUUCAAUAUAACUUGGCACACAAGUAGACUACACUAAAAUACGUAAUUCUAUAUAUUGCUUGCCUGUUGCAAAGUUUCAAAUCCAAGUGCUACUUUUCCUUUGUUAUACGUACAGACCAGUAGAGCUACAGUCUUAUCAGAGACUUCUGGUUUCUCCAUUAUCUCCGUAUUGUUCAU